UCAAAUGAACGGAACAGGUCUUCGGAUGCUGACGAGUGCAACGGGUGAGUAAUACAUCGGAACGUGCCCGAUCGUGGGGGAUAACGGAGCGAAAGCUUUGCUAAUACCGCAUACGAUCUACGGAUGAAAGCAGGGGACCGCAAGGCCUUGCGCGGACGGAGCGGCCGAUGGCAGAUUAGGUAGUUGGUGGGAUAAAAGCUUACCAAGCCGACGAUCUGUAGCUGGUCUGAGAGGACGACCAGCCACACUGGGACUGAGACACGGCCCAGACUCCUACGGGAGGCAGCAGUGGGGAAUUUUGGACAAUGGGCGAAAGCCUGAUCCAGCCAUGCCGCGUGCAGGACUGAAGGCCUUCGGGUUGUAAACUGCUUUUGUACGGAACGAAAAGACUCCUUCUAAUAAAGGGGGUCCCAUGACGGUACCGUAUGAAUAAAGGACCGGCUAACUCCGUGCCAGCAGCCGCGGUUAAUACGGAGGGUCCAAGCGUUAUCCGGAAUCAUUGGGUUUAAAGGGUCCGUAGGCGGUUAUAUAAGACAGAUGUGAAAUCCCCGGGCCUUAACCUGGGAAUUGCGUUUGUGACUGCAAGGCUGGAGUGCGGCAGAGGGGGAUGGAAUUCACCCGUGUAGCAGUGAAAGCGUAGAUAUGCGGAGGAAACACCGAUGGCGAAGGCAAUCCCCGGGCCUGCACUGAACGUCUCAUGCCAAAAGACGUGGGGACGCAAACGUGAUUUAGUACCCUGGUUGGUCCGCCCCCAAACAGCGAUCAUCCAUUGGUUGUUGGUCUCAUUCUGAUCCUAACUAACUCGAAUGACUGUCCCCUGGGGAGUACGCCGCAGUGUUAAUAGAAUCCCGAAGGAAUCCUCUCAAAUCAUCCCGUUAG
rnacentral:rRNA from 1 species